rnacentral:rRNA from 1 species
UUGCAAAGAACUUUGAAGAGAGAGUUCAAGAGGGCGUGAAACCGCUGAGAAUGAAGCGGAUAGAGUCGACGAAACUUAAUCAGUAUUCAACCAACACGUCAAACGGCUUCACGUAUGUGCGCCAUGUCUUGCAAAAUUUCGUGGCGUUCAUCGUACGUAUCGAACUGUAUGACGUACAUGUUGGCGUAUUUACUGAUUGUAUGCAUUGAGAGCUUCGUAUCAGCGCACGAAGAAACUCAACCAAUAGAGGCUUGUCGGCUAGAUAGGUCAAACUAUUCUAAUCGACGAUAACCUAUUGAGAGUUGAUAGCGUGUCGCAUAUGAAGUUUGCGAAUAACGCGCGCAAUUAAUAGCGUAACAAAACUUUUGUUCUGUUGUACUAUUCAAGCGCUCUCCUCUUAUCAUUUUUUUAAGUGAAUUUAUGCGAUCCUUUCAUACGUCACACGUACGUGAAAUGUCGCGUAAAAUAUUAACUUAUUAUUUGAGGAUAUAUUAAUAGCGCC